UGCCAAUCAGUCGUAGUGUGGCCGUUUCGGGAUUUGGGCGGACAUAUGACUCGCUGCGCAAAACAGAAAAGAAGAAUAAGUGUGUGGCAGUGGCAGCAGUAGUAGUGGUGGGAAGAAGCCUGAAGAAAAACGGCAGUGUGGCAGUCGUAAGGAGGCGGAGAAGAGAAGGAAGGAGAAGACAAGAAGAAGGAAUUUCGUGAAAAACUAGGGAUUUACUACGCGACUCUCUCUUUUUGUUGUUUUUCUUGUUUUGCGCCCGAGUUCUUUCUCGUUUUUAUUGUUCUGUUUCACAAUUUCCCGAAGAAAACCCGAGAAAAAAAAAACGGUGUUUCGGUCGCUACGCGAGAAAACUGCUGCAAUUUUGUUUUCGAAAAUAAAAAAAAGGAAAUAUUCGCGAUUUCUUCUUCCUCGUUGUGCUUUUACAAACCAUACCGUUUAAUUUUAAUUCGCGAAACGCAAGAUUAAGAGUUUUCCCCGUGAGGUACGUGAGCGUGUGUGUUUGUGUGCAUUUCGCGUGUAUGUGUGUGUGCGAGCGUUUUCCUCCACGCACGCACACAUCUAGCAGAAACCAACAAAAAGAAAAAUCAUCAUCCGUCAUCACUUGCGCGGAGUUUUUCCGGCACGUCGUUAUAAUCAAAACGUAAAUAUUAGAAAAAGUAAUUAGAAUUUGCGUGCUACGCGGAAGCAAAAAAAAAGAAGAAACCAAGAAGAAGAAGGAGAAGAUAAUACAAGCAAAAUAUAAUAUAUUGAAAUCAAAAAAUUUCCUGAUCACACGUUCGCCAAUCAACCCGAAGUGAGCAAGAAGAAUAGUUGCAAUAGUGAGUGAGUGAGAGAGAGAGAAAGAAGGAGAAGGAAGGAGAGAGCGCUACGCGCUGCAGCUGUGUGUGUGUUUACAUCUCCUGCACAAGUCUGUGUCUGUGUGUGUGUGGUGUGAAUUCGUGUGUAGCGCGCACACACACACACCAUCGUCGUGGCAACUGUCGUGUGCUCGCCGCGCGCACCAGAGUGUGUGCAAGAUAUAUAAAAAUAUUUCAUUGAAUUUUUACGUGGCAAAAAAGGCGAAACACCGUCGUCGUCGUCGUCCAAGUCUGAAGCAGCGCAGCGCGCGCCUCCAAGCGGCCAUCAACGGAACCUGGUCGCUAGACCAGAACCAGUGCCAGUGUUUGGGCCAACAGGUUCGCCACCGGGCAAGUGUGUGGAUCCAAGUCUCCCCCCCGGGUGAGGUCAAAUCCGAACUCCGGAGUGGGUUGCCUCAAAUCCAGCAGGUGUGCUCCCGAGCCUCAAGAUGGCCGCCCUGUGCGCUGGCAACUAUGGACUGACCCAGCAGCACUCCGGCAGCUCCGGCGCCGGCGACAACAAGGAGCUCAUCUUCGUCAAGCUGACCGACUCGGCCCUGCGGGCCAUUGAGGAGUUUCAGCGGAAUCAGCUCAAACUGGGCGGCUCGCUCAACCCGUCGAUCCAGUUCGUCAACGGGCAGGGCCACCUGUCCUUUCCGUCCCACAACGGCAACAAUGUGCAAAAGUUUAGCUUCUCGCUCGCGGACAUCGAGGGCGGCGGCACGCUCGAGUGCGUCCAGCAGACGACCGGCCAGCCGCUGCAGAACAUCGGCCACAUCCAGCACAAGAUGCGGAUACACGCGAACGACGACGUGUACGAGACGACGCGGCACCGGAUGGCCGCGGCCGAGGAGACCAAAAAGGACAAAUGUACAAGAGAAAUCAAGCCCAAUCAAACCGACAUAGGACGUAAAGUGAAAUUAAAAAAUCCAACCACUCGUAUCAGCAACAUUCCUCCUAGUAGUAAUUCAGUUUUAAGCAAACGUGAUUCUAGCAACAACACUUACAAUAACCAUAGUAGCAGCACCACCAACAACAACCACAUCAGCAACAACAACAGUAGUAGUGGUGCCGGUGUCAUCAACAACAAUAGUAAUAGUAGUCUCUCAGUCGCCUCCGCCAACAACAACCACAACAGCAGCAGCAACAACAACAACAACCACAACAGCAACCAUCUGCUGAGCAACGGCAACAGCCACAGCAACCACGUCGCCAACAACGUCAUCAACCACAACAACAACAACAACAACAACAGCAGUAGCUACAACAACCUCUCGACAUCACCAAAACUAGCGGCGGCGGCGAAAAGCAAUGGCCUGCAGCAGCAGCACAACAACCACCUCCACCACAACAACAACAACAACCACAGCGUCAACAACCAGUCCUCCGGGGUGACGUUGCAGCAGCAGCAUAAACCGGGCUACCAGCCAACGGUGCACGACCCUCCCUACCAGCAGUCCCAGCAAAAGUCUGAAAAUGGCACGGCGAGGGGCACCAACGGCCGGACGCAGCACGGCAAGCCGGAGAUUAUGAAGCGGAAUAUUCGUGAGAGGUUAAUCCACUUACUAGCACUAAGGCCAUACAAGAAACCAGAACUGUACGCCAAGUUAGCGCAAGACGGUAUCCGCGGCCAGGAGAAGAAUUGCAUAGCGCAGGCCCUCAAAGCGAUCGCGAGCAUGCGGGAUAACGUGUACUACCUGCACCGGCACAUGUGGAACGAUGUGCAGGAGGACUGGCCCUUCUACUCCGAGCAGGACCGGCAGACGCUCAAAAGGAGAAAGCCCCAAAACCUAACCCCUCCGCUCAGCUCGGACGGCGGCUCGUCGACGUCGGGCCAGAGUCCGUCCAGUGCGCACAACGGCAGCAGUCCCCCGUCCGGCAGCAAGCGACCGUCGAUAGCGGGCGACGAGGGCGGGGCCGCCGGUGCGAUGCCCACGGCCAAGAAGCCGCGGAUAAGUCACUACAAGAAGGACAUCCUUCCGGACAUUAACCGGCGAGGUGUGACCGAUUCCAGGGACACUAGCAAUAUGAACCCACGCUCGAGGCCGCACGACAGUAACCGUUCGUCGAAUUACUACCACCACCAUGGAUCCAACGUAACCCCGAACGCGCAGGAAUCGGAAGACAGCGGCGUCAGCCUGAGCUACUCGCUCGUGCCGAACGACGUGGCCAAGCGGAUACAGCACUCGGCCGGGGACGUGAUGGUGGCGGACACGCUGGUGAUCUCCGACCGGGACAACUACGACGACCAGAUCAGCGCGUACCGGGAGGAAACGAAGAAGGUGAAGAGCCUGAAGGAUGACUUUAGUGAUCAAUUUACUAGGAUAACCACGGUGGAACAACGGCGUAAAUACAAGACUGAAUUUGACAACGAUUUUCAAGAGUACCGGCGGCUGCACGAGAUCGUCGAGCGGGUGUCGCGGAAGUUUGCUCAGCUGGAGGAGGACCUGCAGCACCAGCGGAAUAACGAGAGGCGGUACAAGGAAAUUCAACGGCAAAUAAUUAAGGAGUACGACGAGAGUAUAAAGGACAACCGGUUUCAGGAAACGAAGCAAAGGUUCAACUAUCUGCACAGCAAACUAUCUCACAUCAAGCAUCUCGUGCACGACUACGACGUCGCCAUCACGAACGGCCUGUGUCGACCGCAGGAGAAUUACUGACGAUUAUUGAAGCCUGUAAAACAGCACCACCCGUCGCAAUUCGUAUGUUGAUGACAUUAAACCCCCUAGCCGAAAGUUAACUGAAGCAGCAAAAAGCACCGUUAAUAGCAUCGUUUACGCCACCACCACCACCACACCGUCGUCGUCGUCGUCGCUCGUCCAGAAUGUCGACCAAUCUCGUAGGAGUGUGUGCGCGCGCACACACACAGGUGUUGUACUAGAAUGCACACAGUGCGCGUUCACCAACCCGUGCAAGCCGGAGCAGCAGCAGCAACAUGCAAUCCUUUGUUACCUUUUUUUAUUUAAACAAAACAAAAAAAAAACACAAAAAUGAAGCAAAAAAGCAACAUUGUUUAGUCGUUAGGAAGUCCACAGACGGAGAGAGAGAGAAGCCAAGAAGAAGCAACAAUCCCGCGGUCCAAAGUGUUUGGAGCAGCUUUGGGCGUGAUGCCCAAGCGCGGGGAGCGGGGACACUGCAAAUCCCGCACAGCAUCAGUGUCCCUCCCCUCCCCGAUCAGCCAGCCCAGCAAAAGAAGGAAAGAAAGACUUGUCAGUCGUAGUCAUCACACACACACACGGUUGUCGGUCGUCGUCGUCGUACUCGCGUUUUCUCGCCAACAAUUGAACCAAUUGUACACACACUUAGCAAUGAGACACACCCACACACACUUGGAAGCAGGCGCCGGAGUGUCCGGCGGGAACCGGAUCCGUACCCGCGAACCGGGAACCGGUGCGCUCUCUUGGGAAAGGGAAUUGUGUGUCGAGAAAACAAAUGAAAAAGAAAACUCAAUUUGGUUGCAGCAGAAGAAGAGGACAGCAAAUCCUAAACACUCACCAGCCACACACAAACGUGCGUGUUUUGGAGAAAAAGAGAGAAAACAAAUAGACACACACACACAGCAGAGAGAGUGAGAGACAUUAUCAAAUGAAUUGAUUUCUAAGGAUUUUUCUUUAAACUAAUUUUAGGAGUUUAUGAAACUUAACUAGUUAAUUGAAUGUGUUAGAAGCAGAAGCAGCAGCAGCAGGAAAGAGAGAGGGAAAGAAACACAAAGCAAGUGAAGCAGCAAGAAAGAGAAAGAGAGAUACAGGAGAAAGCUCGAAAUCGCCACGAAAAAAUGACGUUACUUCUAUUAGAAUUUUUGAAUUAAUUUUUCUUAGUUUUCUCGUUUUUAAUUUCUCGUUUUGUUUCUUCUGAAAGUUCGAAAAAUUGGAAUUCGAGAAGAACCAACACACCAACACCAGCCGAAAAUUCGCGACACGGAUAUAACACACACACAAAGACAUACUUCUACAGUGGGAGAAUUCGCGGUGGGCGCUGAUCCGUUCCCGAACUGAGCAAAAACCACAAACCAAUACAACAAAAAAGAAACUAGAAUUUCGUUUUUGGGGACAAUGAAACGACGUGUCAGGAGGAGAACGAGGAGGGGGACAAAGGAAAUUAUGGGUAUUUAAUUAAUUUAUUAGUUUGUUAAUUUAGACAAUUUUGAAAACAAAAGGAAAGAAAAUGAGUGCGAGCUAGAGGCAAAGUCAGCCAACCCUCUCCACUCUCCAGGCAAUCUCCGCGGUCCACGCGCUAUUGAAUGUCGCCGAGGGAGCGCGCGCGCUUCGUCAAAAAACGGAAGGUUGAAGAAACUGAACCUACACACCUAGUGCCACAGAAUUAGCGAAAAAAUGUUAUUAAAAAGAAACUCAAUUAUUGAAUUGUUACGAGAGCGUCGAAGGCGCGUAGCGCCUAUCGGUGGCGUCGCAACGUUCAACAGGAAUCGCGGGGAAGCGCAAGUCAAUCGGUUGAAGCAAAAAUGAGAGAAUGUUAUUCAAUUUCGGUUUUAUUACUUGUUUAGUAGGUUCAUUUUGAUUGUGUUUGAGAGAGAGGAAUAAAAACUGUUAAAUUGAGUUAAAGCACGUCCUCCGUGGAAGGGCAUGAUUCUUGCCGUCCCCUGCCAAAAACAAAAAGCAAGAACGUGUGUAAACAGUGAAUGAAAUUGACCAGGAAUCUGUUUUGUUUUGUUUAAUUAUUACACAGCAAUUUACGUUUGAACUGUUUUUUUUUAAAUUUCCGUACUAGUGGGUUUAUGAAUUUAGAACGAAAAAGAAAAGAAACGUAUGGUUUGGUUUUUAUUUGAUUUUAUCUUUCUCGCACUUUGUUCCCUUUUGUUAGUUUUCGUUGAGUUUUGUUCUUAUUUUUGGUGCGAAAAAACGAGCGGAACAAACACAAAAAGGCCAAGCAACGUAGUACUAGAAUGAACUCCAUCGGUUAGAGAAAAAGAGAAGCAAAAAAACAGUGACCUUCUUUUGUCGAAUUAAGUAGCGUAAUUCUAACUAGCAUAAGCCAGCAUUUCAAAACCAAUAAUCCAAUAGUAGUAGAAUAAACACACAAAAAAACAAAACACACCAACCAAAUAGAAAGCAAACAACAACAACAACACAAGGAAAUUGCAAACAGCAAAGAUACCAACGAUUAUUUACUCUUUGUUUUUUGUGUGCAAACGUCAAAUGAAUUGUUUUAAGGGGUUUUUAGAUUGUCGAGAAAAGAAAAAUGCAAGGAAGUGAAACAACGCAAAAAGAGAACGAAGCAUAGCAAAAAAACGAAUUGUUUGGAAUUUAGCGCGGUCCCGAGAAUGUUACUUUUAGUUUUAAAACCAAUUGAGCGUGUUGAUUUGAGCGAGACAGCGAAUUGAGCAUGCGUUUUGAAUAUUAUGUUUGAAGGGGAGCUAGCAAAGCAACGAGAGGACAAUACACAGUUGAAAAAACAAAAACACAUAGUUUUGGGUUCCGUACCGAGUACACACAGACUCACACUUACGUCCAAAAAUAAAAGCGGAAGGAAAUUGCCCUUUUCCUUCCGGGUUUGCGCCGCGAGAAUCAGUUGAAUUGAUUGCCAACACUUUUCAAUUCCAUCCAUCAGUUUUAUAUAGGUAGAGAGAUCUUACGAGAGGAAGGGCAUUGUUGAAUGCUUCAGAAGCAGUCAACGCGAUAAUUUCGUCCCACAUUGGAUUAGUAGUUGAUUUCACACAAACGCAUUUGCACCGCACCCCGAAAAAUUGUCGUAGACAAACAGAUUAAAAUCAUGUAUCAAACUUCCCUGCUUUGAAAAAUUAAACAGAAGCAAAUAAAAAAGAUAGACGUCGUUCAACAAUCAACAAACCCAUCGAUGCACGAUUAUUUCAUUGGUGAUAAUGUUAUCGGCAAUAAUUCAUGGUAAUCCAUUCGAAAAACUUAUUUCAAACGAAUUAUUUUUUGACAAAUUUGUCUCAGGUGAAAAAAACAUUUUUCGAGUAAUAUUUUUACAAAUAUUAAAAAAAAAGUUUUUGUCAAAAUUUGAGCAUUUUAAACUAAAACCAUCAAACUGCCUGACAAUGUUGGGAUCGUUUGACACUCAUUUGCAAGUUAUAAACAUUUGAGUAGGGAGCGUUCUUUUAUUACGUAACGCAAAAAAACGGAUUUUCAGACCCCUUUCCCUCAUAAAAAAAUUUCCAUACAAAUUCUAAAAAUGGUGUAUGGAGCGUAACACGGCCUCCGACCUCCUCACCCCAACCGAUUUACGUAAUAAAAGAAAGCUCCCGUAUUUUCAACAACAAAAAACCGUAUUUCGUGAAAAUUAAAAAUUUUAAAAUUGGGCACAGAAUUAAAAGCACGAAUGUUCUAAAAUCCAUUCUAUUUUGCUCUUUUUUUGAAACCCAUUUCACAAUUUAUGAAUAUUUGCAUAUAUUUAAAAGACAACGUAUUUUGUCAAAUUUUAGUUUUCUUAAAGAGAUUAACGAUGUUAAAAUAUUACCAAAUUUGACUUCGUUUGACUUUUAUUAACAAAUCAAGAAAAUUUGAGAAACCUAUUAGUUAUGGGAUUCUCUAUGCGUCUUAAAACCUUUUCAAAUUAACUCUACAUUUUUACUUCAUUUGAACGCUCACAUUGAAAAAUAUAUGAUUUUUUUUAAAUAGUAUUAAAAAACCUAUUUUGCGAAAGAUAUUUUAAUAUUUUUUUAAUUUAUAUGAAAAUUUCAGGUAUAUUUUUUUAAAACGGUAUUUUGUGAAAAUUUAAUGCUCAAAUCUGUUUUUUUUUUGUAAAUGGCCCAAUCAACAAACUUGAUUAAAAAUUUGAGUGUUUUGUUUUUUUGUUAAAUAUUUUUUGAAACAAUAAAAAAAUAGUUUUUUUUCUAAAAAAUACAAAUUUUGUGAAAUAUUUUAUAUUUUUGAGUACUUUUGAUUUUUUUGUUUUUUUUUAAUUAUUGUGAAAAUAAUUAAAUAUUUUGUUUAACGGUGUUUUUUAUUGAAAUUUUAAGUAGAGGUAUUAUUUGAGUGUAAAAAAAGUGGAUAUUUAAGUGGUUGCACUUGGUUUAAUAAAACAUGAAUGUUUUAAAAAUCGAUUCAAAUUUCGGAAUAUUAAAAAAAACGUGUGUUGGUUCUUUCCUGAUGGAAAUUAGAGUAUUUUGACUUUUUGACAUCUAUUUCCACCAGUUUAGAAAAAAUGCAAAAGCAAGCAACAGCUUUGGUUAACUUUAAAAAAACUUGUUUUAUUGUAAAAAUCUGAAAACCGCAGGUUUCAAAAUUUUACCACUUUAUUAAAAAUUAUGAAAAUUGUGUGUUUAGAAAAAUAUCAAAUUUGGUACAAAGGCUUUUUCCCAAAAAAAAACUGGGCUUGAAGUUGAAAGCUAUGGCUUUGGCUAUGGUUUUUUUUUAGUUUUUUUUUUCAAUUUAAAAAGUAACAACACUUGUAAAUUUUUGAAUAUUUUGCACAAAAAAAAUUAUAAAUGUUGCAGCAAUAUAAUCCGAAUUUGGCAUCAUUUGACACCCAUACUGCAAAUUUUAAGAAAAAAUAAAUACACUAUACAUCUUGAAAAUAUUAGUAUUUUGAACAAAACAUAAAAAAUGUAUACAACCAUUAAAAUUGUGAGUAUGUGACAUCCAUACAAAAAAUUAUAAAAUUUGAGUAACUUUUUUAAAUUUUUUAAACACACUUCAAUUUUAUUUUACCGAACUCGAUAGUUAAAAAAUCGGUAAAGUCAUCUGUCAAAAUAAACAAAAUUGUACCAAAUUUCGGUUAUACGAUGAACAAUAAUGAAUAAAAAAUAAAUUUUCAAAACAACCUAUGAGUCAUAGGUUUCUUAUGUAGAUAGGACAUUUUGAAAAUUUAAUCUAGAAAUGAAGUGUGUACACACUUAGAUUUUUUUACCGAAUUCGGUAAAUUUUACCGAUUUUUCGACUGCUGAACAGUUCAAUAAACUGAAAAUUUCCGAAUUUGGUAAAAAAUUAAGUUCAUUAUUGUUCAUCGUACAACUGAAAUUCGGUAAAAUUUUGUUCAUUUUGACAGAUGGUUCACCAAUCCAAACUUUACCGAUUUUUCAACUGUUGAAUUCGGUAAAAAAAAUCUAAGUGUGUAAUAUCUAAUAAAGGCACUGAAAUUGACUUUGUUUCGCCCACAUUUUGGAAGUGCAAAAAAAUAGUUUUUUUUUUCAAUAUUUUGAGUAGUUUUACUAUUUAAACAACUACAUUAUUUAGAAAAUAAUUCAGGAGUGUUUGUGUUUCAUGCCUGAGAGAAUUUUCUCAAAUUUAAUUAAUUCGUUUCAAACAUGUUUUAAAAGGAUUAUCGUGUAAUAUUGCCGUGACGUUAGGGUAGAUGCAAACCGUUGAUCGAUGACGAUAAUAUAUCGUUAUAAACGGCGAUAAUGUUAUCGAUUAUCAACGUUGAUACACAGACACCUUUAAGCAACAGCAAACAUCAAACAAAGUUAAUUGUAGUAAGUAAUAAUGCAACUCCAAUCACAACACACCAUUAAAAAAACUCCAACCGUAAAAGUCGAGAUCGGCGAAAGCACCAGCAAAACAAAAGCAAACUACAUCAACAAACUUGUACUACUAGGAAGCCAAUUUAGCCAUCCAAAUUGUAGGUAUUGUGUCCCUCUUCCCCCCUUUAACAACAAAGUGUAAUCGUAUACAAGCAAAACACACCAUUUUAACAAGCGGCUGCAAUCUAGUACUUCCCUUGUGAUGAAUACUUGAAUUGAGGUACUAGAUCACAACCGUCACAAAAGCUAAUUUAAAAACAAAACACAGUAGCAAACCGUCGAGCGACUAAACCUUCCAAACAAAACAAAAAAUACUAGUUCUUUUGUAUAAAUCAGCAAUUGAGUCCAUCGAAACGAGAGUUGAAAAAAAAAACUUUAUUUUGUUUAUUAAACGAGUGUACGCGGCACCUUUAGCGCCAAAUUCCCAACCAUAAAAAAAGUGUCCUCCAAAUUCGAGUCCAACCACGAGAAAAAAAAAUUAAAUUAAAAACUCUUCAGUCCCGCCACCUUCCAUCCGUUUGAGAACAACAAAUAAAAAAACUUUGCAAAUAGUGCGUUUUCCAAACAAAAAAAAAGCAAGUGCAAACUCCGUUCUACCAAUCAAUGUCGUACUAGAUUUGUGUGUGUGCUUUGAAAGUUCCAAAACCUUGUUGUAGGGUAAGAUGAUCCUCGUCACUUCCUUCCUCGCACUCACACAUCAACGCAACCAUCACACCACUUCCAACAAAACAAAACCUUUCCUGCUGAGUAGUGAGUAGAGCGUUAAACUGUUUUCCAGCCGAAGUAGGAGAGAUUUUUUGUUUUUCAGUUUGCAGUACUAGAUUAUCGAGCGCGUCCAAAAUUGACAAUUUGAAAGAGAGAGAGAAAAAUAAAAACACACGAAACAGAAUCUAAAUUACACGAGAGACUGAUUAGGCGGAUUUUAUUCGGUGGCUCCGCGGAGAGCAAAACAAUAAAGUUGAAACGAUUCCUUUGCCAAAUAAAAAACGAGAAACGCGCGCGCCAUCACCAUCGGUGAGAGUUAGUUAAAAGAAAAGUAAAAGAAACCUUCCCGGAAAGUAAAACUACGUUUUUUCUACGGUUUUAAAAUUUGCACUUUCAUUUACGCACAGACACAAAAUCACAACUAGAGGCCAUCUGUAAAAACUUUAAAAUUGCAUUCUUUGAAGUACUAGAACACGCUUUUGUUUUGACAGCAAACAAACAAACAAAAAAUCAAUGGGAUAUAUCAAAUUAAAGAAGAAGAAAAUCAACUGAACUAUAUCAAACUGACGAUUGUGUAUCAAAGCAAGGCGGUGGAGAAUCAAGUUUAAAGUGAAACAUUUCUAACCUGUAAUCAUAGUUGAAUAAACAAACAAUAUGAGUCAAGCAAAGCAAGCAAACAAAUCAUUAAACUGAACCGUAUAGUAGUGAAAAUGCUAUAAAAAUUGUAUUAGUCAAAAAUAUGUGUCAUUUAACUAGGGAGUUCACUUAAAAACAAAUAAACUAUUAUUAUAAAUAUCAGACAAGUUAAACAAAGAAAAACAAGCAAGCAAGCAGCUUUUGUGCAUUUAAAGGUACCAACUUUUUCCCCUCGUAAAUCAUGCAAAGCAACUUUUAACACAAACACACACACAAGAAUAGUGGGUAAGCAAAACACAAACCUAAAAAAAAAGAAUUUUAAACUAAGACAAACAGAAGGUUACAACAGAAACAAACCAACACUAAACUCCCCACCAAGUGAAAAGCGUUAAAAAAAAAUCUUGAAUGUUUUCCAGAACCAGAACAAUGAAACAUUAAGCUCUAUAUUCUCACUCUUUAAAUUCAUCACACGAAAAAAAAACAAAGAAAACACAACCAACUUAGAACAGAAAAAAAACAACAAUUUUUACCUUUGAAAAAAAAACUUCCCCCGUGUGUAAAACCUGCAAACAAUAACAAAUCAAGCAAACUGUAAAUACUGCUUUUGUGAUCCAAUCGAAACAAACAAACUUGUAGCUUAUUCUAUUACCACAACAAAAAAAGAAAAAAACAAAUAAAAAGAAUCACUCUCGAGCGACACUGCGCUCAAACCAAAGUUAUUUAAAACGUAAAUAAAACAUUCUACUACUGCGCGCAAACAAAAGAAAGGCGCAAAGUUGUGUGAACGAAAAGCGAAACCGUUGGAUAAAACAGAGAUCGCUGUGGACCAGAAAGCACACCUUUGCACUCACACACGAAAGCCAAAUCAGCUGCGUAGUACUAGAGCUCGUAUUCUUGUUUUUGGUUCUAGAAUGAACUAGCUAAUCUGGCAAUACAUCGAUUUGAUACCGGUUAUAAUUGAAGCAAUACUGGUGAUGUUACCGAUUUUUUUUUGUUUUGAGGAAAAAAAGUUGAAGUACUAGAUUUGUUUGGCAAUCUGGUACGAUAAGAUUUUUGGCGAAAUUUUGUUGAUCAAAUUCUUACAAUCUUUGUUAAAAAAAGGGUUUUGACCCAUUUGGUCCCUUAUUUUUUUUUCAAAUCAAAUUUUCAAAUUUUCUUCCAUGAUCUAUGUAGUACAAAAAAACAUUAUUUUAUUUUGGUUCUAGAUUGUAUUAGCUUAUCAAGCGAUCCAACGAUUAAACACUUGUUAUAAUUUAAGCAAUUUUGGUAAAUCUACAGAAUUUUGCUGUUUUUGAAUAAUUUUGAGUUGAAGUACUAGCUUGCCGCGAUAACCUUUAAAAUAAAACCGUUGGUUAAAAUCUUUGUUUGUUUUUUUAAUUUUUACGAUUGUUAAAAAAACAUUUUUUUAUAUAUUUGCUGCUGAUUAUUUUUAAAUCAGACCUGUGCAGUACUAGAACUAGUUAGAUGGAAUUUCACAAUACUGGUAAUUUUGAUGAUUUUUUUAAAAAUUAUUUGGUGUUGAAAUAAUGUUGGAAAUUUUGGCAGUUUUUGAAUAAUUGUGAAUUGAAGUACUAGCUUGCUUUCACUGCUUUAUACGAUAAAACUAUUGGUUUAAAAUAUUUUAUUGAUUUUCACGAUUUUUGUUAAACAAACUUUUUUCCAUAUUUUUGUCGCCGAUUUUUUGUAAAUUUGAUUAUAAAGCAAAUCAAACCUGUGCAGUACUAGAACCAGUCUUCUUGUUUAAGAUCUAGAUUUACAAGCUUAUUUGAAACUAAAUUGACAAGGUACUAGUUCUGAUUAAAGCAAUAUUGGUAAUUUUGAUGAUUUUUAAAAGUUUGUUGGUGUUGAAGUACUAGUUUUGGUUGACAAUCUAGUACAAGAAAUCUAAUAGAAAUAUAGAAAUAUUAUUUAUUGGAUUUGGUUCCUGUUUCAAAACAGGUUUUUUAAUCGUCUUCUUCGGACCGAAAACAAAUCUUGUACUUCAUUUUUUUUUGUUUGCUUUAAAAUAAUCCAUUAGUCUCUGCACUAGAACAUGUUUUAUGAAUAAGUUGUUGUUUCGGUGCUAGAUUGUGCGUCCAUCUUAUUCUGCACUUUUUAAAUCUAGUACUACACUUUUGUAUUCAGUUUUUCUUAGUCAUAUUAUGAUUCUCUUAGAAACUAAACUAAUUUGCUGAACCUUGCCACAAUCACUUUCUACCAAUUAAUUAAAAUUUCAAAUCGAAGCUUUUUCAGCCCACAUUUCUUUGAAGUAGCCUUGAAACAACUCAAUCCUUUGAUUUGUGCCUUAUGAAAAAAGAAAGUUGCAAAAUAAAUUAAACCCUUUUCGUCUCAAACUUGGUUUCCUUUCUAAAAGCCAAAACUAAAUAACUACACCGAUGAAAUUACAAACCACAAAAAAGCAUACACCGAAACUAAAUAUUUCAAAAAACGAUUGCGCAAAUUCAUAAGUGUGUCAUGCAUAGCAGAACAAAGAAAACAAAUAAAAAAAACACGAAAAGAUUAGCUGAAGAAUAAAAGAUGUAAACAGAAACAAAUGAUUGCCUUGUGAAAGAAAUAACUUGAAAAAAUGACAAAAAAUGACUAAAUGAAAACAAACAAACUAAAAUUAUGCGUACAGAAAACAAAACAAAAAACAUAUAUAUAUUUAAUAAAUACAAAUGUGAAUGAAAGCAAAAACAGACGAAUCAUUGUGUGCAGGGGGUAAUCAAAAGUUAGAGCCACACUCACAAAGAAGAAGAAGAAAAAAACCGACACAAUUGUAAAUAGUGUUCGAACCAGCAGCAGAAUUCCGGAGGCCAAUUUGUCGAUCCAAGUGGGCGGAGGAGCCCCGAGCCCAAACAAUAUUUCGAAUCGAGCAAUAACAGAUUCCACCUCCUUUCAUCAGUUUGACGAGAAACGAAAAUUGCGUGAAAAUUCAACUCGGGGUGGAAUCAGGGACCAACACAAUUGGCGAAACGAUAUCAGCAAUGGAAAAAAUUAGUUAGUUUGAUUUGGAGCAGGCUCUCCACGAAAUACGUGCUCAAUUUUUUUAUUUGUUUUUGGUCACGUCAUGCAUUAAAAAUGUUAGAUGUGAAAGGAGUAAAUUUACCUCUGUUUUAUGUAAUAUUACCUAGAUUGAUGUGUAAAGUUGCAUAACUGUUUCUUAAACAGGAUUUGAUGUAAAUUACAUGUUUAUUUAGACGCAAUGUCAGAAAAAUAUGUGUAGCUUUACCUUAAAUAAUAUGCAAAUUUAAAAAGAAAAACAUAUUUUUCCUUUACAUGGAACUGUCAAAUAAAAUGAAAUGUGAUUUAUUUUCUGUGAAUCAGUCAUUUAAAAGUUUAUAUAAUUUUAUGUGUUGUUCAUCUUUUAACAUACAAAUUCAUGUAAAAUUACAUCAAAAAGAGGUAAAUUUACACCUUCCAUGUUUACAUAGUUUUAACUGCGAUACUAGAUGAUGGUGGCGUUUUAGUUGUUGUUGUUUGUUACUUUAGUGAAUCGAGGCUCGCCUGCUUGGAUCGAUUGAUUUUAGCAAAACGUCUCCGACAAAAAAAAGUGAAACAAAGUUGAACAAACAAAGUGUACUUGUUGUGGCCAGAAAAAGAGAAGUAAAACAAAACUAACAACACGCAAAUGUAAAGACGCAGUCAAGAAAGAGAGUAAUAAAACUAGAAUGUGGUAAUAAACAAAAAACACGCUAAAGCGAGUAGUAAUAAAUUUAGGGUAAUCUCUUGCAACAGCAAAAUGGAAAAAAGGAAAUCAACAUAGACAUAUAUAUAUUUUGGCAACGGGAGAUAAAUUUUACGAGCAGGAGAGCAAGUUUUAGAAAACAGAAAAAUACGAAAACUGAAACAUUUAAAAUAAACUAACAUAAUGGUUGUGUUAAUUUCAAAAAGGAGUCAAAAAACAAAACCAAUUUGAAGUAAUCGCUUUUUAGAAAAGUAUUGUCCCUUGAUUUACGAAAGCAGUUUUCUCACGACGAACACUUUUGGUGCGAAAACCAGAGUUACUAGAGCAGCAAAAACAAAACAGAGAGAGAGAGAGAGAAAACCAAAAUCAACAAACGGGAGUGAGAUUUUAGCGUUUAUUUUCCGCAAAAUGUCAUCGGUUCAGUCAACGUUACGUUUCAAAACAGCGAAUAGAACAAAAGCAGCGCAACAUUUAACGAGAGAGAGAAAAAAUCAAAUAAAAACCAUUAAAGAAAAAAACCCAAACUCAAAACCAUCGCGAAAGGCACUCACCAAUACACACACAACACUCUGAUCUGUAAUGGAAGAGUGGGUUAGAACUCAAACACUCAAACUCACACAAACACAAAACAAAAGUUGAAGUGUGUUGUGACGAAACUAAAAAUACACACACACACGCACCUUCGUGGAAAUAAUGAGAAAAUCAAGAGAAAACGAGAAAUCACAUCUAUUUAUAAAUAUUUGUUUGUUAAGAUUUUUUUCACACUGUAAAUAUGUUUAUAUGAAUUGAUUACGAAGUAAUGAUUAAUUACGUCAAGGAAAUAUCACUACACUGAGCAAACAAACUGAAAAGGUUUAUUUAAAAAAAAAACAAAAAAAUCAAAUAAGUUGAAAGUGACAAACUGAGAAAGAGAAAGCGGAGCUAAACCGCACGGAAAAGAAAAAAAGAAAACAAAAAAAACCCAAACGACAACACUAAUGAUGACGACUCUAUGCAAUGAAUUAUCAAAACUGAAUCGCGAUAGCAACAAAGCAAAACAAACACUAAAGUGCGCUCGGCUGUGGAGCGUCACAGUAGGCGGUGCGCGGCGCGCACAAUGAGGGCGUGGCGUGACAAGGUGGGUGUGGGCGGAGCCAGAGAUCCCACUCUUAUUUUUGCAGCAUUUACUCUUGCGUACUGAGUAGAGAGAAGAGAAAGCGAGACAGAGACGGAAAAGUGCUUUUGACGAUUGUUCCUAUCGAAGAUCUGCGGUUUUCGGGGUUUUUCCCCCACGGUGAUCAUGCCCUUUGCAGCCCCGCCCCGAUUCCCUUCCUAAUGAAAGCAAGCAAACCGGUGCAAUAUCAUGAUGAGCUUUUGAGAUUGCAAUAUGACGACGCGGUGGGAGGAGCUUCCGCGAAACAAAACUAAGUGUGCCAAUGGAAGAACGAAUUCCAAGCUGGAGAAGCAAAGCAAGCUCGCCUUCUUUGAUGUUUUUUUGUUGUUUAACCUAAAAAUCAUUAUUGUUUUUUGUUCUUUUUUUAAUUUCCUCAAUGUUUCCGUUCCUAGUGGAACUAAAUUGUUCCAAAAUUUAAGCUUCCCAAUUGGCGAUUGUUGAAUUUGUUCGUUUCGUGUAGAUAGCAUAAGAGAAAAAAAAAAUAUCCAAAGGAGGGAUCGGGCCGUAAUGAUGUAAAUAUCUUGUUUAAACGAAAAUCUGUGCGGGGUGGGGCCACUGAUCAACCAAUGGAGCCGAAACUCGACCCAGAAAUCCGCUAAAAUUCGCGUAAAGUGUGUUUAUGUACUUAGCCCGACGGGCGCCCAAUUGAAAUCGAAAAACACACACAAAAAAUACUUUGAAUCAGAGCAGCACUCUAGUUCUUUUUAUGUCCAAAUCAUCUAUUUUGCAGUUUUUAAUCCCUUCAAGCUGGAAAAAAACAUUCGAAACUCCUGUAUCAAGAGAAAAGAUCCAUUAACAAUUUAACGGUCAAUUUGAAUAAACAGAAACUCAUAACGGCAUCACAUGCGUUUGACAGUUGCCUGAAAUCGUAAUCACACACACUACCAUACAUUUAGUGUGGUGUGCGUCUUCACAACUAGAUGGCUCUAGUGAUGGAUUUGUGAAAAUUUAACCAAUCUCAAACAUUUUUGAUUGAAAAUUUUAUUCAAUACAAAAACGUAAUUUUAAAAAACUUAAGAUUUCACGAAUGGUUAAAUAAUUUGAAACUGUGAGUAUCAGUUUCAAAAUACCGAAAAUAUUUUUUUGAAGAUGUGAAAAUUUACAUAAAAUUGAAAAUCAGCCAAUUGAAGAGCCACUUUUUAAUCUUAUUCGUUACUUUGAAAUUGUGAGACGUAUGUUUUAACUCAAAUUUAAGAAAAAUUUCUAAAGUAAUUUCAAAAUCGUUCAAAUUCAAGGACUAUUUUUAAAUGUCAGUGUUGAUCAUGAUAUUCUGAAAAUAUUUUUUUAUGCUGAAGAGUUGAUAAAUUUUCAUUUCAGCAUAAAAUCUGUAAUUUUUGUUUUUUUUUUUAAUUUUUUUUUAAUUUUCUUGCAGCGUUAUCUAAAAAUUCUGUAAAUUCUUUUUUUUCCAAAAUUAUGCCAAAAUUUCUCAAAAUCUGAUUUAUUUUUUUAAUUCUAGAUUAUUUUAAAGGCUUAAAGGAUUUACUAUGUUUAUAUCACCUUUUAAAAUUUCAGUCUAGAAGUGUAAAAAUUGUUUUAAAAGAAGAAACAAUUAUUUCAUUUUUUAUAAUAUUCGAAUAAAAAAUCGCUCAAACUAUACAAUUUCAGCCAUUUUGAAAUAUUAAUCGUAAUUUUGUUAGAAAUAACACAUUUUUUUUGUUCCGGGAUCUUUUUCAAAUUUAAGUCGGACCAACAAUAAUUGACCAAAUCAAAAAUAGAAAUUGGAUUUUUUUAUGUAACUUCGUUUGUUUUUAAAUAGGAAAUAUUUUUUCAGAAAAAAAAAACUUGAAAAUCAGUAAAUAAAAAAGUGCACCUUUAUGGAUAUUUCAUAUAAAUCACAAAAGUACUUUUGGGGGAAAAAAAAUAAUGUAAAGUUUUCAGGAUUUUUUUUAGAGAUGUUUGUUCUUUCAUUUUCAAAAAUCCAUAUGGUUAAAAAAAUAUAAGCAAAAACACAUAAUUAAAAAAACGAUUUCGAUUAAAUGAUAUUUUUAGAGUUUUCCAAUUUUCUGUAUAGUACUGAUCAUUGUUUACAACUUUAACGAAGACACUAAUUCGAUCAGAAAAUCUCUUCUCUGGGAUUUAUAAAAUCUGGCCUAAAAUUACAAAAUGAUUCAUUUGGACAGAAGAAAAGCAUAAGCAAAGUGUCAUUCAAAUAAAAAUCGACUUGCAAAAGCCUAGAGGAUUGCUCAGCAGUUAUAUUUACUUAACUUCUGCGUCGCGUUACGAGAUACUUAUCUUGCUCCAGCUUUUUCGACGUCAGAAGAGUUUAACAAAUUUACCGCAAAACAACUGGAAAGAUUUCAAAAUCAUUUUCCCUUUUUUGGCCACACCACCAUUUGCUCUUUUUUCUAGCAAAGCAAAGAGCGAACGAAGCUCUCAAAAUCAAAGAGUGCCGUGACUUGCCCACAGAGAAGCCUUAUUUUAAAUUUAUAAAAAAAAUCGCAAGUGGAAACUUUUGUGCAGCAAACCCCCCAAAAAAUUGGAAGCCUGAACCAAAUCCAACCGAACAGAAAAAAGAGAGAAAAAUUUUAACUAAUAGUCGACUGCUUUUCGUCAGGUUCCUAUCAAUUGAAGCGAAAAAAAAACCACGUGUAAAAAGACUGAUAUAAACAAAAAACGUAGAAAUAACUGAAAGAAAGCGUAAACACAAAACACACAAGUCACAAUGACUAAAACUUACUACUAGCGAAGCGAAAAAAAACGAGAAAGAGAGAGAACGAGAGACAGUAACAAAAGAGAGAGAAAACUUGUUGGCAGCGCAAGCCACGCCCCCUCACAAACCUACGAAUCCAACGCCCCCCUUUCUGAAAAUCGGAUCGUUACUUCCUCAUCGUUUUUCUACGAAGAAAAAAAGAACCUCCAAAAAUCGCUCCGCCCCCCGCACUUUAGUACUGCAUUUGACGUCAAGCGAAAAAAAAAAACAACAAUCGAAGCCACGCCCCCUGGCCUGCGCAGCGCCACUACCACGUCAGCCGUGCGCCACGCCCCCCAAUUCUGCCAUUUGCUCGUGCUCGUGUCCCACCCUGAACCCAGGUGAGAGAGACAAUUUUUAAAACCCGGAGGGGUGACCGUGUCCCAGUCACGCCCAAACAGAAAAAAAACCCACACACAGAACUAACAUCAAAGUGCUUCUCUUUCAAGAAUUACCAAUUUUAUGAAGCGUACGAAAGAGAUAGCAAGCGACUCAAAAUAAGACACGCAGAAAAAAAGAGGAGAAAAAAUGCGCAUUUUCUUCGCGGUAACCCUCUGGGAACCUUCCCGAACAAGCCCCCCCUUAAGAAAUGUGUUUGGAAAGGAAAUGAAACUAGACAUGAUGGGGGAGAGGGCACGAGUAAAUGUUUGGAUAUUUAAUGAAAUACUUUAAUUUAGUAUAAAGUAAUCGCAAGAAAUGAGCAUAAUUUAACGAAGAAAAAUAAAUAAAAAAAAAACACUAAGAAAUAAACCCUACAUAUUAUGAGACAGAGAAAGAAUGAAGA